GGUGGUAAUGCCGGAUGCUCCGGUUGGAUGCAUGUCCUUCCGGGAAAGAUUCUAUCGGUAUGGGAUGGGGUCGCGUCCUAUCAGCUUGAUGGCGGGGUAACGGCCCACCAUGGCUUCGACGGGUAGCCGGCCUGAGAGGGCGACCGGCCACAUUGGGACUGAGAUACGGCCCAGACUCCUACGGGAGGCAGCAGUGGGGAAUAUUGCACAAUGGGCGCAAGCCUGAUGCAGCGACGCCGCGUGCGGGAUGGAGGCCUUCGGGUUGUAAACCGCUUUUGAUCGGGAGCAAGCCCUUCGGGGUGAGUGUACCUUUCGAAUAAGCACCGGCUAACUACGUGCCAGCAGCCGCGGUAAUACGUAGGGUGCAAGCGUUAUCCGGAAUUAUUGGGCGUAAAGGGCUCGUAGGCGGUUCGUCGCGUCCGGUGUGAAAGCCCAUCGCUUAACGGUGGGUCUGCGCCGGGUACGGGCGGGCUGGAGUGCGGUAGGGGAGACUGGAAUUCCCGGUGUAACGGUGGAAUGUGUAGAUAUCGG
rnacentral:rRNA from 1 species